rnacentral:tRNA from 1 species
GCAGAUGUAGUUUAAUGGUAGAACCUCAGCCUUCCAAGCUGACUACGUGGGUUCGAUUCCCAUCAUCUGCUCCA